CAAGGUGUAGCUUAUACAAAGCAUCUGGCCUACGCCCGGAAGAUUCCACAUAAAGUGGCCACUUUGA
rnacentral:tRNA from 1 species